rnacentral:rRNA from 1 species
GACGAACGCUGGCGGCGUGCUUAACACAUGCAAGUCGAACGGAAAGGCCCUGCGCUUGUGGGGUGCUCGAGUGGCGCACAGGUGAGUGACACAUGAGUAUCCUGCCCUUGUCUGUGUGGGAACACCUGGGGACUGGGGAUCAUACCGGGUAUGAUCUACUGCUGCGUAGGGUGGGUUAGAAAUAUUCGGCGGUUGUGGAUGGACUCGCGGCUUAUCAGCUUGUUGGUGGGGUAGUGGCUUACGAAGGGUUUGAGGGGUAGCCCGCCUUGGAGGGUGAACGGCGUCAAGGCGACUGAGAGACGGCGCAGACGCCUACGGGAGGCAGUAGGGGGAAACAUUGCACAACGGGCGGAAGUCUGAUGUAGCAACGUCCCGUGCGUGAAGCUGGCUUUCUGGGUGUAAACAGCUUUGGACGGUGACGAAGCGGGCGUGACGGUAACGGGUAAAGAAGCACCGGCUAACUACGUG